rnacentral:pre_miRNA from 1 species
AAGGGGAGCACCUGAUCCUGGGCUAUGUCCCCCAGUGCCCUGGGCUCCAGGGUCUGCGCCGCUGAAAUCGUGCUCCCGGGCUGCACAGCCCCCU